UACGGAGGAUGCGAGCGUUAUCCGGAUUUAUUGGGUUUAAAGGGUGCGCAGGCGGUCUAUUAAGUCAGUGGUGAAAUCUCCGGGCUCAACCCGGAAACUGCCAUUGAAACUGGUCGACUUGAGUAUGGAUGAAGUAGGCGGAAUUCGUUGUGUAGCGGUGAAAUGCAUAGAUAUAACGAGGAACCCCGAUUGCGUAGGCAGCUUACUAAACCAUAACUGACGCUCAAGCACGAAAGCGUGGGUAUCAAACAGG
rnacentral:rRNA from 1 species